rnacentral:misc_RNA from 1 species
CCGAGUUGCAAGACUCCCCAACCAUCGCGAACCGCUACCCUGUCGUUGCUUCGGCGGGCGGCCCCUGGGAGGGGCCGCCAGCCCUGCGGCGCCCGCCGAAGCAGCCCACACACACAACCCUUUGGCCUGCCCCUGCCUCUCUGAUUGCCAUUUUACAGAACGAAUCA